rfam:Oryza glumipatula chromosome 2, whole genome shotgun sequence.
AAUUACUCCCUGCGUCCCAUUUUAAGUGCACGUUUGAACGUCCGUCUUAUUUCAAAGUUUCUGUGAUUAAUACUUUUAUUUUUAUUAGAUGAUAAAACAUGAAUAAUACUUUAAGCAUGGCCUUUUUAUUUUUUUAUAAAUUUUUUAAAUAAGAUAUACGGUCAAAUGUUGAACUGUACUUAAU